UGGCUAGCGCGCGACCUCUUCAUUUCCUUUCCGUUUUUCUGCUUUUGCAAAUUUGUGAGAUGGGAAUCAUGAGAAUCUUCGGCUGGAUAAGCGGGUCGAGCUAGCACGGUGGCCUCCAUCUUCCCGGUGUUCGAUUCUUCCUGUUCCUUUUACUUGCUCCUCGAUGGCUGCUCGAUCGACCGUGCUGCUGCAUGCUACUGUACUAUGCACGCGUGCCGCCAUGUUAUUCAACUCCGGUCAGUUUCACGUUAUCACGUAGGGAAACACGAGAGGAAUUAAGAGAGAGCGGCCGGGGAAAAUAACGAGUGGCGGAAGGAGUUUCUGUACACGUGCACGUAGGCAACACGGCACACACCGACCGACGACUCUAGCUAGGGUCGGUCAUCUGGUCCUGGUGGCAUGGGCUAUAUGUAUGGCUCCUGCUACUAGCUUCAUUCAUUGCGUAUCACGUCAAGAUUUUCUUGAUUUGUCCUUCUUCGGUGCGGACAUGCGUCGACCGUCACCAUCUGAUGGAAAAUGGGUUCCUGGCCAGCGUGAACAGCACCCGAAGUCCCGAAGAGCAAAGGCACGGCUUGCCUUGCCACCUUUUAUCCACCGUCAGUUUCAAUCCGACGGCUAGCAGCAACCCAUGCGGGAAUCCUAUACGAGCGCCACGGAGGAAACAGCAAGGGGAAAAAGAAAUCUUCGGGCUUCUCGGCCGAACCGCCGUCGCCGUCGCCGCCGCGGGAGGGGGGGGGGGGGGGGGGGGGAGAGCAGGCUCCGCCGGACGCCACUGCAUCCUCCGCCCCCGCUCCGCCUCUCCCAGUUCCGACGGCCUCCUCCGCCCCCGCUCCUCGAAACCCCCGCCCCCCCUCCUGUAGCAGUGGGCAUCGACCUUCAGGUUGCUCGCUGCCGUCGGACUCCAGCAGCAGGAAGGAGAUUCUUGUUGAUUGGGGUGAUGUGCUGUGCAAUUUGACAUGAUUUGAUUAUUGUUCUAUGCAAUUGUGGGUGUUGUGCAUUUGCAAGUGUGUGCAAUGGGAGAAAUUGACAGGGGGAUACCUCAAGUAGGUAUGCGGUUUAAUGGGUGUUUUGGGUUGCAUAUGGGGGUCGUGCACAGUGCUGAUCAUGUAAGAACAGUCCAGAUUUAAGUGCUAAGGGCAUUUGUGAGUGUUGACCAUGUAAGAAUAUUCCAGAUUUGGCUACAGUGCUAAGUGAUGAUCAUGUAAGAACAGUCUAGAUUUUAGUGCUAAGGGCAUUUAUGAGUGUUGAUCAUGUAGGAACAGUCCAGAUUUCAGUGCUAAGUGCUUCAAAAUUUCAAUUGUUCAGACCGUGUCCAGUUUUUCCUUAUAUGUUUUGUCCUUGCAAAAAUUCACUUGUUUAGAUUUGACUUGUAUAAUUUGUCCUUGUAUUCCAGUUUUGGCUUCCAUGGUUUGUGAAGAAAUUGGAAUCGAUGAACUAUUGUUCUUCUAUAAACCUGCUGUAUGCCUGAACGAUUGUUCA